GAUGAACGCUGGCGGCGUGCCUAAUACAUGCAAGUCGAGCGAACAGACGAGGAGCUUGCUCCUCUGACGUUAGCGGCGGACGGGUGAGUAACACGUGGAUAACCUACCUAUAAGACUGGGAUAACUUCGGGAAACCGGAGCUAAUACCGGAUAAUAUCUUGAACCGCAUGGUUCAAUAGUGAAAGACGGUUUUGCUGUCACUUAUAGAUGGAUCCGCGCCGCAUUAGCUAGUUGGUAAGGUAACGGCUUACCAAGGCAACGAUGCGUAGCCGACCUGAGAGGGUGAUCGGCCACACUGGAACGGGAACACGGUCCAGACUCCUACGGGAGGCAGCAGUAGGGAAUCUUCCGCAAUGGGCGAAAGCCUGACGGAGCAACGCGGCGUGAGUGAUGAAGGUCUUCGGAUCGUAAAACUCUGUUAUUAGGGAAGAACAAAUGUGUAAGUAACUAUGCACGUCUUGACGGUACCUAAUCAGAAAGCCACGGCUAACUACGUG
rnacentral:rRNA from 1 species